rnacentral:rRNA from 1 species
UGAGGAAUAUUGGACAAUGGGCGCAAGCCUGAUCCAGCAAUGCCGCGUGCAGGAUGAAGGCCUUCGGGUUGUAAACUGCUUUUGUACGGAGCGAAAAGGUCUGCCCUAAUACGGUGGGCUCAUGACGGUACCGUAAGAAUAAGCACCGACUAACUACGUGCCAGCAGCCGCGGUAAUACGUAGGGUGCGAGCGUUAAUCGGAAUUACUGGGCGUAAAGCGUGCGCAGGCGGUUAUAUAAGACAGAUGUGAAAUCCCCGGGCUCAACCUGGGACCUGCAUUUGUGACUGUAUAGCUAGAGUACGGUAGAGGGGGAUGGAAUUCCGCGUGUAGCAGUGAAAUGCGUAGAUAUGCGGAGGAACACCGAUGGCGAAGGCAAUCCCCUGGACCUGUACUGACGCUCAUGCACGAAAGCGUGGGGAGCAAACA